GUGUAAAUAAUUUUGUAUAAAGUUUAUUAUAAUGAAGGUAGAUUGUAAGCAUUUCCGUCUUUCAAUCGCCAAUAAACUGUACAUAUUUGUCCCUUGACGUAUGCAAACGGGCACUAUCAAUCAGCCAAGCUCUCCAAGGUCGAAGCCAUUUGUUUUCUGGAUAAGGUGGGAAAGGGAUAGCAGCGCGACUAUCUUGUCAAAUUAUCAAUCGUGCCGAUAAAGUCACGACUGUACACAAAGGGGUCGGGAAAUGACGUACUUCCGGUUGUGUCCGAGUCCCACCUUCCUUAAUCUGAGGAUUCACAGACUCGAUCAUUUCGUCCGUGACUUUCCGUAAAGUUAGAGGUGUUCGCGUUUGUUAGUUAGUGUUUCGUUUGCCAAAAUAGGUUAAAGUUAAGUGUGCGGUGUGAAAUUGUGUGCGAUAGUGGAAAUCAAAGCCAAGAUAGAAGCCAUAUUGGCUUGGGCUUCUCACCCGCAGAAUUUCCACGCACCCAAGCGCGAUACCUGUUCCCCCAACGGACGGAAAAUUCCCGACCACUGACUACCCGUCGGAAGUAGACUGGUCCGUCACCAUACUGGUCUAAGGGAGCUCUGGGGACUUCCACGUGGACGAAGUCCACCAGCCGGUUAAUCCAACCGCCGGCAAAGCAAGCAACCGCCAUCGCUUCAUUGAGCAGCGAUCGCCAGGAGCAUCGACCCUACCCCGUAGGUCAUCGACUGUAGUAAGUCGCAUCGAAUCGGUGAGUCUCCAAGUUUAUUUUUGCAUGGAGUGCGGCGUCCGAGGAGGGCGCCGCGGAGGGAUAUUUUUUGCCAGUCUUAGACUGAGGACCCGUGAAAGUGCUAUUAAAGCACAAUCGAGGAAUCGCGAGUUGGAGUGGAAAGCCCACCAACCGCUCGAGUCUGGCGUCAUCAGUGAAAAGCGUGCGUGAGCCCAUUUUCGCCAACACAUAAAUUCCCACCUAAUACCCGGAGCGCAGAAUGACGAGAAACUGAACUUUCGAUAAUCCGUGACGUCACAUAACAUGUAAAAGCACAGAGCACAUGAGAGUAGAAGAUAGGAUAGAGAAAACCGCACACAAGCUAGAGAUAGGCAAUAGAACGAACACCAACACAUAAACCAAUGCG